AAGACUUUUGUGCAUGCAUGUAUGGAAAAAACAACAUGGAUCAUCACGGAAUACAUAAAAUUAAGGCUCUCUAUAUAAACUGACGAAUGACGAAGAGCAAAGAAAAUUCAGGUCUACUUAUAAUAAUUAACUACAGCUUUGUAUAUUUUUUUUUUCCAUUUUUUUGUGUGUACAAAAUAUAUAUAACUAGAUGUCUUUUUUUUUUGUUUUUUUUUUUUUUUGAGUAUAACUAGACUAGAUGUCUUUUGUGUAAAAUAAUUAGGAUUUCAAUAGAAUCAAAGGUGAGAUUGAGAUUCACAAGAAGUUUAACGAUGAGAUGCGUUGUAUCAUGAAACAUUUGACGGUAAAGUCUCCAUUUAAAUGCUGUUAAUUAAAUAUAAGAAUGCAAAUAAUUUAUACACACUUUAUGUUUUUUUCUUUUGAGCCCAAGCUAUGGAUACUUCACUAACAGAAGAAUCUAAAACUACAAAAAUAAUUAUACAAUCUUUAUGUUAUAUAAUAACAUGCACUUUUUAUAUAUAAUAAAACCCAAAAAUAAAUUCCACUAAUAUAAAUAUAUAUACUAACCAUGGAGAAAACGCAUAACUAAACAGAUCUCUUCAAAUGGUUUUUGAUUCGGAUACGUCGUAAAUUUGCAAUUUAUUAUUAACAACAUUUUUUCUUUUUCGAAUAGUAAUAUGUAAUAUAUAUAUUAAUUUACAGAUUUGAAACUUAUAUAUAUAUAUAUAUAUAUAUUCUAAGUUUCAAGAAAAAUUAUACUAAUUAAAAAAAUACACUAGAACGUAAAUAUGGGCUGUCAAUUAAAAAAAACAUCCAAAUCAUACCCCAAAAGAAUAAUAUGAAAUUUCAACUAGUGCUGUUGUAAAGCAUAUACCGUGUUUUCAAAUCUGUAUAUUAUGAAAAAUUUUAAAAGAAAAAAGUAUAUAACAUAUGAAAUUUCAACUAAGUAAGAAGGUAAUUAUGGUUUGUAAAGCAUUCAUGUUUUCAAAUGUAAAUUCUCUUAAUAUUUAUGUAUUUAUAGAACGUUUAGAAACAUGUAUGUUUACAUGUCUACUCAAAUCAAGAAAAUGGUUCUUACAGAUGCUGAGAUUAUUGUUUUUUUAUUACUUUCCCUAAUUAGGUAUGAAAGAGUGGUAUUUCAAUUUUGAUGAGUAAAACUCUGUAUUUAAAAAAGUUUAUCGAGAGAUAAUGCUAAGAUUUAUGAAAUAUUAUAUUUUAUGAAUGCUAAGUUAAUUUGAUAUGCUAGAAAUCAUACAAAAGUAAUGAACAAGUAGUAAGUUAGGGCAAUAGAAAAAUCAAUCCUGUCCAGUAACGUAUUAAGGCACCACUGACGACUAAGUAUGUUCAGUGCCUUCUUACAAUAUUCUUUAAUUGUCACGAUGAAACUUAUUAUUCACAAAUUAGUAAGAUUUUCUAGUAAUAAAAUAAUAAAUAUAUAACACAUGCAGAUUCAAAGUUCUUCAAAAAUUGUACUAAUAAAAACAUGGAAAAAUACGAAGCUAAAAUCCAAGAUUCAUGUCCAUAUUGUUCUUCUUCAAGAUCGCAAUAUAAUUACACCAAAAAAAAAAUACUAUUGGAAAUAAAUUAUAAAAAUAGCAGCAAUACAUAUCUCAGCUAAAGAUUAUAGAGUUUAAAGCAUAUAUAUUAUAUGAGGUGUUUUCAACUGUGUAAAUUGUGGAAUUUUAAUUAGUUAUACAAACUUUAAAGACGUGUAUGUGUAAAUGCUACACCUAAGUUAUUCAUAACAAAAAAUUAUAAAACAUAUGAAAUGUCAACUAAAUAAGAAGGUCAUGGUUAAUUUGUUAAAGCAUGACGUGUAUUCAAAUGUGGAAUUCUAAGUAUUAUGUGUUUGUAGGAAGUUUAAGAAACGUGUAAGUGUAUAUGUCUACGCACAUUACAUUUUCAGAAAUAAAGCUUUUGAAAAUUGAGUCGGUGGGUUGAUCUAGUGGAUGAAAAAAGAAGAAAUACAUAUAAAUUUAACUUAGUAGUAAACUUAGUAAAUAAGAGUUUCCUAAUUAAACAAGUUGUGGUCUUAAUCAAAAAGCCAAGUAAAAAAUGGUAAAAUUAUCAAAGACUUUGUGUGAAAGAACAACAUCAACUUGACACACAUUAACUCUCUAUAUAAACCAGAGGAUGAUCACAACAUUAUGAAGAACAUAAAGAGAAGAAGAGCAAAGAAAACAAAUUAGGUCUAAAUCACUCUUUUUUUUAAUACUACCAAAUUACAAACACAAAUCAAGAAAUGGGUAUUACAGAUGCUGAGCUUCUUGAGCUUGAGGCUGAAAUGGAUCUUGUCGAAGAUGCAUUGGCACAACAUGAGACGAAGGAGAAGGUAUAAAAAGUGUUUCAUUUUGAAACUCUUAUAAUUAACCAACAGCUUUAUAUUUCCAUGGUUUUGUGUGUACAAAAUAUAUAAUUAUGUUUUAUUAACUAUAUUUUUUGUAAAACAAUUAGGAUUGGGAAAUUAAAGUGAUCAAUAGCUUGAUCAGUGUCAGGAGGUUUUAUAAUGAAGAAAGAGACUCAUAAGGAGCUUCUAGCUGAGCUUCACAGUAUCAAAGAAGCCAAAACAGUCAAUGAAGAACAUUUGAAGGUAAAGUAUCCAUUUAAAUGCUCUUAAUUAUAAUUAUAACAAUGUAAACAAUUUAUACAUAAGUUAACUAUUAUUUUCUUUUGGAGUGAAUAAUAAAAAAUGCUAAUAGGAUUAUUGAAAUUUUUUAGGAUUUGAUCAAGAAAAUACGCAAAGCUAUCGUGGAGGAAUAUGGAUUACCCUCUUCUACAUAAAGGAAACAAGUAAAGAGAAUUGAAUUAAUUAGUAGUAAUUUUCAUUUUAUUGUCGUUUCUUUUAAACCUUAAUUAAAAAGCUUUUAUGGGAAUAAUUAAAUUUAGGUUUUAUUGGAAGAAUGAAUAUAUGGUUUGUCAUGUCAAUUUAUCUUUGUUUUCAAAAUUUGUAAAAUUAUCUAUAUAAUCUGAGUAAAUUGUUCUUGAAUAAUAUAUAAUGUGUUUCUCUCUUCUAUUCUCUUUCAAUUUCCCUCUUUCAUGUUGAUGAAACUCCUAUUUUCAGAUUUUUUUUAUCUGAACAAAUUAAAUACACAUAAUUAAUUUAAUUAAUUACACAUCUUUCUUUUAUAUGAAUUAAGAGUAAUUGAUUAUAACUUUGUGGUAUUAAAUAAAAACCUAUACUAUGUUUUUCUAGUAAUAUAACUCGAGGUAUAUAUAUACUAACCAAGUAACCAUGAAGAAAAUCAUAAUAAAACAGAUUUCUUCAAAAGGUAUAUAUAUACUUUUUUCUCUAAUUAGGUAUAGGUAUAAAAGAGACUAAAGAGAGGGGUAUUUUCGAUCUCUUCAGAUAGUUUUUGACUUCUUCUUUUUUCUAAUUGGGUAUAAAAGAGAGUGGUAAAUUAAUUUCGAUGGUAAAAUUUUCUCCAUAUAUGUAUAAAGUUUAUGGAGAGGUGCUAUCAAAGACAACAUCCUUCCAUUUAUUCCAAACUUAUUGAAAUAUUUUAUGUAUGCUAAGUUAAUGAAUUCGAUGUGCUAAAAUCAUACAAAAAUAAUAAACAAUUAGUAAGUACAGUUUGGUUAGGGCAAGAGAAAAUUCAAUUAUGUUAAUUUUGCAUGUCGACCGGUAACGUAUUAAACUUCACUAAAGGCACCACUGACUAGUUAUCGUGCCCAUAGCCCAUUCAUAUGUAUGUGUAUUUGUUUUUAAGUACACAUUACAUUUGCAGAAGUAAAGCUUUUGAAAAUUUGAGUUGGUGUUGAGAAAGAAUAAUUACAUAUACAAACUUAGUAGUAAAUAAGAGUUUCCUAAUCGAGAAAGUUAUUGUGGUCUUAAUCAAAAAGCGAAACAGAAAUAGACUUUUGUUACAAAGUUAUUCAUGUAUUACAAAGAACUUGAUAAGAGUUUAUGAAUAAUCACAUGUGUAUUUGGGAAAAAGUCACAAUCGAAAUAUCAAAGUUAUACACUUAAUUAUAUACAUUUGAAAGAAUCACACAAGUUUAAUAGAUCAAGAAUUGUAUGUAAACCAAGAAUAGUUCCACCACCACCGUCACCGACUGUUCUCCCUCCUCCUCCUCCUCCCCCUCAUCCUCCGCCGCCGUGAAUAGACUAUUAUAUACACAAAUUUAGUAGUAAAUAUUAUCCAAAAUAAAAAAGCCAAAAUAAAAAUGGUAAUAUUAUCGAAGACUUUCUGUGGAAAUCAACACGGAAUAACAUAACUUAAUGCAUUUUACCUACACAUGACACACACUAGAACUAAUAAUUCUCUAUAUAAACCACAUAGGAUCAAACAAACAUUAAGAAGAGCAAAGAAAAAAAAUUAGGCCUAAUUAGUCUAUCACUCUUGUUCAAAUACUACCAAACAAAACAUAUCAAUAAACAAUGGUUCUUACAAUCGUCUCCAUGAAGCAUUGUUUCCAGUAUCUUUGUUCUCAACAUUUGUAUCAAUAAUCAAUUAAUGAAGUAUCAAUCUUGAAUAAUUAAUUUAUAAUGUGUUUCUGUCUUGUAUUCUCUUUAGAAUUCAACUUCCCUCUUUCUGGUUAAUGAAACUCCAAUUUUAAGAUUUUUAACUGAACAAAUUAAAUACACAUAAUUACACAUGUUUCUUUUAUAUGGGGAGUAAUUACACAUGUUUCUUUUAUACGAAGAGUAAUUAACACUAUGUUUUGUUCCAGUAAUAUAACUCUAUAUAUAUACUAACCAUGAAGAAAAUCCAUUAUUUUAUCUUUGAAUUUCCAAUAUAUAAUCUGUGGAGCAUAAAGUCUUCUAGAGACAAUAUACAUUUUCAGUCUUCUUCAAAAUGGUUUUUGACUUUUUUUUUGUAAUGGAAUUUUUCUAAUGACAGGUCUUAUAAAAGAGAGUUACAUUAUUUCAAUUUCGAUUUGUAAAAAACCUUAAUAUUUCUCUAAAUGUAUAAAAAUUUAUAGCUAUAGAGAUGCAUGUGUGUUAGUAAUAAAUUGAUAUGUAGUAUUAACAAACUGAUUACAAUGUUUUUCGUAUAAUAAUUCAUCGUUUCAAGAAAAGUUAAUGUCCUACUAAUUAAAAAUAAAAACUAUACAUUAAAAAGGUAAAUAUGGUGUAAAGAUAAAAACGGCUAAAUGAAAGCUGGCGACGUUUGUUCUUCACAAUCACUAAAAUUAAAAGUUUGUGGUAUGCUUUGUAAAGCAUGAUGAGUAUUCAAAUGUUGAAUUCUUAGUAUUGUGUAUUUAUAGAAAGUUUGGAAACGUGUAUGAGUAUAUGUCUACGCACAUUACAUUUGCAGAAUUAAAACUUUUGAAAAUUUGAGUCGGUGGGUUGAUCUAAUGUAUGAAAAAGAAGAAAUGUACAUACAAAUUUAGCAAUAAACUUAGUAAAUAAGAGUUUCCUAAUUGAACAAGUUGUGUUCUAAAUCAAAAAGCAAAAUAGAAAUGGUAAAAUAUCAAAGACUUUUUUGCAUGGAAGAAACAACAUCAACUUGACACACCCUACAUCUAUAAUUCUCUAUAUAAACCAGAGGAUCAAACAUUAAGAAGAACAUAAAAGAGAAGAAGAGCAAAAAAAAAAACUAAGCUAUUUUUUUUAUAUAUAACUAACUAGACUUUUUUUUUGUAUAAAAUAAUUAGAUUUGGUAUGAAAACAAAGCUAUCAACGACAUGUUCAAUAAAAGUAUAGCAAGGUUUGGUCCUCCAGCAGGUGAGACUGAGACACUCAAGAAGUUUGAUGAUGAGAUGCGCCGUAUAAUCGAAGCAAAAAUAGAAAAUGUUGAAGAUGUGCAGGUAAAAUAUCAAUUUAGAUGCUCUUAAUUAAAUAUAACAAUACAUUAAUUUAUGCUAUUAUUUUCUUUUUGAGUGAAUUGAAUGAUUAAAUGCUAAUUGGAUUAUUGAAAAUAUUAGGGUUUGCUCCAGAAAUUAGUUAAACUUAUUGAGGACGAAGAGGCAUCCUCUUCUAAAUAAAGGAAUAAGCAGGCUCCAUGGGAUGACAAAGUAAAGAAGAAUAAUUAGUAGUAAUUUGUUGUUUACCUAAACUUUCAAAUAUGUUAUGAAAUAAUUAAAAAAUCUGGGUUUUCAUGUUAUUUAUCUAUGUUUUCGUAAAUUGUAUGAUUUUAAUAUACAGUCAAUAAUGAAGUAUUUUCUACUAAUCUAAAGCAUGGCUUGUUUUCAAAUGUGAAUUCUGAGUUUUUAUUACUUCUACGCACAUUAACAUUUUCAGAGUUAAAGCUUUUGAAAAUUUGUGUCGGUGUUGAUUCAAUAGAUGAAAAAGAAGAAAUACAUAUAUAAACUUAGUAGUAAACUUGUAGUAAACUUAGUAAGAGUUUCCUAAUCGAAAAAAGUUAUUGUGGCCUUAACUAAAAAGCAAUAUAUAAAUGGUAAUAUAACGAAGACUUUUGUGCAUGGAAGAAACAACAUUUGAUCAACACGGACUACAUAAAAUUAAUGCAUUACACCUAUGCUCUCUUUAUACACUUACGAAUACACAUAUUAAAAAUGAACAAAGGAGCGAAGAGCAAAGAAAAAUUAGGUCUAAAUCUUUCAUCACUCUUGUUCAAAUACUACCAAACAAAACAUAUCAAGAAAAUGGUUCUUGAGCUUGAGGCUGAAAUGGGUUGUAUCAAAGAAGCAAUAACAAAAACUGAAAAAAGAGGAGAAGGUCAAAUAUCAAAGACUUUUGUUACAAAGUUAUUCAUGUAUUACAAAGAACUAGUACAACCCAUUUACCAUGAAUCCCAUGAUAAGUGUUUAUGAAUAAUCACAAUGUGUAUUUGGGAAAAAGUUACAAUCGAAAUAAUUGUUACAGCCUCCAUAUUGGUUUUCUGUUUUAUUCGAAUACCAAAUCAAAAUUAUACACUUAAUAUUUUACCUAUGUACAUGAAUGACUGUAACCAAUUUCUUCCUAACAUGAACCAGAGCUAGAGAUCUAUUAGCUCAACAAGCACAAAAUGGAACCAGAACUAAUCCCACAAAAGUAAAAGUUGUGACCAUUAACCACGAAAAAAAUUUCAAUAGAUUUAUUUAUUUUAAAAUAGUGAUAAUAUGAAAUUUCAAUAGAUUUAUUUAUUUAUUUAUUUCAAUAGAACAAUAAUAUGAAAUUUCUUCAAAAUAUUUUUCUCUUUCUUACCAUGCUCUGGUGCUUUAGUGACACGGUAAAAUAUUAAAAUCCAGUAUGCAUGACACCACUGACUAAUUUAGUGCCAUUACGUAUAUUAUUAGAUUCGGUACGUUGCAAAUUAGAUAUAAUGUUUUUCGAAUAAUAAUAUAUAUCAAAUAAACAACAUACAUAUUCAUCGUUUUCAAGAAAAGUUAAUGUCCUACUAAUUAAAAAGAAAAUUAUACAUUAAAAGGUAAAUAUGAAAGCUGGGCGAUGUGUAUAUUUAAUCACAUAAGGUUAUGAUUUUUUUUUUGUGAAGCAUAUGGCGUGUAUAUUCAAAUGUGAAAUUAUGAGUAUUUUGUAUUUACGGAAAAUUGAGAAACGUGUAUGUGUAUAUGUCUACGCACAUUACAUUUGUAGAAGUAAAGUUUUUGAGAAUUUGAGUCGGUGGGUUGAUCUAAUGGAUAGAAAAAAGAAGUAAUAUGUACAAAAUUAGAAGUAAACUUAGUAAAUAAGAGAUUCCUAGUUGAAAAAGUUGUGGUCUAAAUCAAAAAGCAAAAAUAAAAAUGGUAAAUAUCGAAAAACAUCAGUGGAAGAACAACAUCAACACGGAAUACAUAAGCACCCACUUGACACACACUACAUCUAUAAUUCUCUAUAUAAACUAGAGGAUCAAAACAUUAUGAAGAACAUAAAGAGAAGAAGAGCAAAAAAAAAAAAAUUAGACCUAAGUAUUUCAUAAUUCUUGUUCAAUAGUUCCAAACAAAUCAAAAAAAUGGUUCUUACAAAUGCUGAGAUUCUUGAGAUUGUGGAUGAAAUGUUUAUUAUCACAGAAGCAAUGCAAAAAAAUGCUAAAAAGGAGAUGGUAAAAGUGUUCCAUUUUGAUGAUAUUCUUAUAAUCAAUUAACAGCUUUUGUAUAUAUGUCCGUUGUUCUAUACAGAAUUCACUUUUUUGAUGUUUUUUUUUUUCUAUAAAAUAAUUAGGAUUGGUGUGAAAACAGAGCUACGAACGACAUGUUUAGAGCAAAGUUUGGACCUCCAGAAGAUGAGGCUGAGACUCUCAGGAAGUUAGACGAUGAGAUGCAUUGUAUAAUCGAAGCAAACAUAGAAAAUAUUGGAAAUUUGACGGUAAACUAUUUAUCUUGAUGCUCUUAAUUAAAUAUAACAAGACAUAUAUGUUAUUAUUUUCUUAUGGAGUGAAUAAUUAAAA
rnacentral:lncRNA from 1 species